rfam:Capsicum annuum cultivar Zunla-1 chromosome 7, whole genome shotgun sequence
AGUUGGUGAUGUAGGAAAUAUCUGAGAUCAAACUUGAAUCCCUCGCAUACAUCAUAGAGAUUUGCAUCUAGCUUUAUCUUAAAACGUAAGAUCUCACUCCUCAACU